UAGGGAAUAUUCCGCAAUGGGCGAAAGCCUGACGGAGCAACGCCGCGUGAGUGAAGAAGAUCUUCGGAUUGUAAAGCUCUGUCAACAGGGACGAUAAUGACGGUACCUGUGGAGGAAGCCACGGCAAACUACGUGCCAGCGGCCGCGGUAAUACGUAGGUGGCAAGCGUUGUCCGGAAUAACUGGGCGUAAAGCGCAUGUAGACGGCAUAGCAAGCCAAGUGUGAAAUUUAGGGGCUUAACCUCUAAACUGCGCUUGGAACUGCUGAGCUUGAGUGCAGGAGAGGCAAGUGGAAUUCCCAGUGUAGCAGUGAAAUGCGUAGAUAUUGGGAGGAACACCAGUGGCGAAGGCGACUUUCUGGCCCUAUACUGACGCUGAGACGCGAAAGCGUGGGUAGCAAACA
rnacentral:rRNA from 1 species